CGGCAGCACGGGAGCAAUCCUGGUGGCGAGUGGCGAACGGGUGAGUAAUACAUCGGAACGUGUCCUGUAGUGGGGGAUAGCCCGGCGAAAGCCGGAUUAAUACCGCAUACGCUCUACGGAGGAAAGGGGGGGAUCUUAGGACCUCUCGCUACAGGGGCGGCCGAUGGCAGAUUAGCUAGUUGGUGGGGUAAAGGCCUACCAAGGCGACGAUCUGUAGCUGGUCUGAGAGGACGACCAGCCACACUGGGACUGAGACACGGCCCAGACUCCUACGGGAGGCAGCAGUGGGGAAUUUUGGACAAUGGGCGCAAGCCUGAUCCAGCAAUGCCGCGUGUGUGAAGAAGGCCUUCGGGUUGUAAAGCACUUUUGUCCGGAAAGAAAACUUCCUGGUUAAUACCCGGGGAGGAUGACGGUACCGGAAGAAUAAGCACCGGCUAACUACGUGCCAGCAGCCGCGGUAAUACGUAGGGUGCAAGCGUUAAUCGGAAUUACUGGGCGUAAAGCGUGCGCAGGCGGUCCGCUAAGACAGAUGUGAAAUCCCCGGGCUUAACCUGGGAACUGCAUUUGUGACUGGCGGGCUAGAGUAUGGCAGAGGGGGGUAGAAUUCCACGUGUAGCAGUGAAAUGCGUAGAGAUGUGGAGGAAUACCGAUGGCGAAGGCAGCCCCCUGGGCCAAUACUGACGCUCAUGCACGA
rnacentral:rRNA from 1 species